rnacentral:rRNA from 1 species
ACGCUGGCGGCAUGCCUAACACAUGCAAGUCGAACGAGACCUUCGGGUCUAGUGGCGCACGGGUGCGUAACACGUGGGAAUUUGCCUCGGGGUAUGGAAUAACUCAGGGAAACUUGAGCUAAUACCAUAUAAUGUCUUCGGACCAAAGAUUUAUCGCCCUGAGAUAAGCCCGCGUAGGAUUAGCUAGUUGGUGGGGUAAAGGCUCACCAAGGCGACGAUCCUUAGCUGGUCUGAGAGGAUGAUCAGCCACACUGGGACUGAGACACGGCCCAGACUCCUACGGGAGGCAGCAGUGGGGAAUUUUGGACAAUGGGCGCAAGCCUGAUCCAGCAAUGCCGCGUGGCAGGAUGAAGGCCUUCGGGUUGUAAACUGCUUUUGUACGGAACGAAACGGUGAGCUCUAAUACAGUUUGCUAAUGACGGUACCGUAAGAAUAAGCACCGGCUAACUACGUG